rfam:Sugiyamaella lignohabitans strain CBS 10342 chromosome A, complete sequence.
UCCUUCUUAGCUCAGUUGGUAGAGCGUUCGGCUUUUACAAGGAUUUAAGAGGACUUUACAGUCGGUUGAGAAUCAUGUGACCGAAAUGUCAGGGGUUCGACCCCCCUAGAAGGAG